GGAGCUACGUGAACGAGCGUGUUCAGCGGUGGCAGUAAGCAAGGAUGCAGCGAGUUAGGGGAACGUCGGCGGCGGCUAGGGGAGGGGGUAGAGGGAAGGAGUUUGCGGCGGCGGGCAGCGACGGCGGGGGCGGAGGUCGGCGCCGACAGCGUGGGUGGAGGUCGGCGCCGGCGGCGGGGUGGAGGCCGAGCUGAGGUGCUAGGGGAAGGAUAGCUAGUGGGUGCGGGGGUGGCGAAGCGUAGACUAGUGGUGGUCGCGGGCACGAGAAGACCGGUGGCUGGCGGUACGUCAGCAGGCACGGCUUGGAAGCGCGACACAAGGAGGCACGCUCCGGCGACGGUGACGUUGCCGAGAGAGCCUAGGUUGUGCUUCGAACACUGCUUCCCGAACCUCAACCGGUACUCACGAGUUCCACUUCACCGCCGUACGCAAAGACAUCCCCCCUCCUCGCACGUAAUCCCUUCAGUCGUCGGCCUAGACUCGCGCCCACUCCGGUCCAACGGUGAACUCCGGGUACAGCCAGUCUAGGUCCGUUGUGUACCCUCAGUCGCACCGCCGCCGCAUCACGGCUCCGUCCUUCCUCCGUACCCUGCUGUGUAGCCGCCCAGUACCACGUGACGUGCUCUACUCACUGUACUACAUUUGUUGCGACAUCCGCAACUACGGUGUGUACACAGUAAAAGAUGAUGGCUAUGACUAAGAACUCCCGAUGACCGUGACGGUGGUCCAUACUCGUCCUUGACGGAGGUAACUCUUGAGACCCAUGACGGCGGCGGCUGCUGGUAGCUCGUGACUCAACCUUGAUGGUGGUAGUUCCUACUGUCCGGCGGUAACUCCAACUAACAAAACCGGCGCGGAAGGGUGAUGGUCAGACGUGGUAGUGACUACAUAAGACUCGUCGGCCUCUUGGGGAUGCCAACGUUCUAAGGACGUUGAACAUAAACUCUACGUACGGGAUUAGUAGAACCAACACCAGUCCACACCAUACAGCCUUAGGGCAGUCUUCUUACACCAUGUAUUAUUAUCAAAGUAGUAGAGUAGAAGUACGAUGAAGGUCAAUUCAUUCGAAUGAAGAGGAAAACUAGAUAUCAAGUAAAGAUAAUAGCCUUCGCUAGACUUGAUUUUAUUUUAAAUACACCAAAGAAUCGUAAAAGAUAGAGUUUGAAAUGUAGUAAUACAGUCCACGAUCUUUUUAUUUAUUGAUUCUGUACAAAAUUCCUUAAGUUUCUACUCAAGGGAAACUUCUCGUUCGUUAGUAUCAUGCCUCGUUCUACUAAGUUUUAUCUCCAAGGGUAUUAAUCUCCGUUAAUUUAGUAUAUACUACUAAUCGGAUUACACGACGAUAUGGUAAAUUUUGUAAAAAACUGGACCCUCGUUAAUCGUUUGAGACUGGAGAAACAUUACAAACUAAUGGUAAAUACAUCCCGAGACAUGACGUCCUGUUGUAUAAGUGAUAGUUAUAUACCAAAUAAAGGUUAUAUUCCACAUACAGUUCAAUAUGUGACCGAUGUCUUUCACUCACACUCACCAUCUGACCUUUAAUUUCUGACAUUGAACUAUCGUAGACCUAUUUACAAUUAUUUUUAACAUAUUUUUAUUUUUCCAAUUCAGACGACCAAGCUUAUUCGUCAGUAAACAGAAGGAAGGUGUCAAAGGUGAUAUACAAUAAAAAUAACCAAAAAGGGAGAUCUGAAGUUAAAAAAAUAUGGUACCACUCAACGGAAAUCAAUCAAAUAACUUAAACUAUGAAGGUAGUCAAGUAACGGAAAUCAAUCAAGAUAUUGUUCAAAGUUAGUUAACAAGUAGGGAUGCAGUUGCUUAUCCAUACCUCAACGAAUAACAAUGAAGUUUCAUCGUUCUGACACACUACUAAGGAUGUAUCACUAAUUGUAUAGAUACGGUACAUGUAAAUAAGAAACCUUGACCUCCAUUAAAGAAGAUUACUAGUGUUCAAUAAAUACGGAGAAAACAUGACUCUAGAGAUCUUCACCUCCCCAACUUCUUCCAGUUCACGUUCUACUUCUAACUAUCCUUCUAAAUGUCGGGUUACAACUUCAUACAUUGGGUAAAACAAACGUACAUCGAUGUUAGGUUCUCCUUCUUUACGUCUUCUUAAACAAGUCCGAAACCUGUACACACCAACUCCUCUCUCGCUGUAGGUUGGUGAUGUUUGAACUGUAUACACGUUUCCAUGUUCAUUAUGUACGUUAACAGUUCCUUUUAUUGUAUAUACACCACUUGUUGAGGAUAUCCAUCUCACUUACAGCCAACAAAAUGUUGUCUACCCUACAGGAAGUCAAGUAGAAGAUACGAUAGCCACUAGCUGAAACAAACUGGGAACGUCGUUCACCGGCAGUAUGGGCGGCCGCUACGCAGGCACGGAUCGCGAACGGUGGCGCGCGGUAGCGAGUAACAUGUGGUGGAGCGACAGGAUUCGACUCAGGGGUGCCCGGCGUGAGCAGUCGCCGCCGCCGCGGUGGGAGUAGGCCAUAAAACUCCAAAAGUGCGUCUAGACAACAAGUCAGAGUCACGUCGCACGGAACUGAGGCGUACUACUUAAACGAUCAACGAACAUAUAAGAUGAUUCUAACUGCUCGAGCUAGUUUUUAGUGGAUUCUUUUUAUACAACAAUAAGAGAUAUUACCAACAACACCUUAAACUCCUCUUAGACACGUGGACGUAGGCCGAGGAACUACAACGAGACUAGUAUAACACAUUUAUAUAAAGAUUAUUUCGUUAGCGGGCUACCACAUGUACAAUCUUUAUUGUUCUACAUUAGUAGUUCGCACUCUCUACCGUUGUAGUACUACCCUACGUCGGUUCGGUUGUUGUCUCGGUCCGAAUCCGGACUACUGCUGAACUGUUUAUACCAGUUCUACAACUUCUACUACUUAGACUUCUAUGACUUCUUUAUCCCCCCCAUGAGAAUCGGAAUCAAGGAAUAUAGUAAAAAACUACAGGUAACGAUACAUAGACAUAUUUGAACGAAGUCGGUAAUAACAGUUAACCAGCCGUUUUCCUAACGUAUAGAGAUCGGUAUGUCUUAUUCGUCUGCUCUACUACACGUAAAUAAACCAC
rnacentral:rRNA from 1 species